rnacentral:rRNA from 1 species
UUGAAAGGGAAACGAUUGAAGUCAGUCGUACCAGCGGGAAUCAACCUUUCGAGUGGGGGUUUUGGAGUUUUGAAGAGUUUCAAAACCUUUGAGAUUUCAAAAUUUUCGCUCCUUUGGUGUACUUUCUCGUGGGUAGGUUAACAUCGAUUUCGAUCAUCAUAAAAGGAUUGGAGGAAUGUAGCUUCGAUCUUGUAUUGAAGUGUUAUAGCCUUUGGUAAAUGUGAUGAUUGGGAUCGAGGAUUGCAACGAAUACCCUUUUGGGCUAUCCGCCUGAUCUCUGAUACGUGGCCUUGGCAUCGAAAGCUUGCUUAUGGUAUCAAGGUAUUACGGUCAAAAGGUUAGAACGGAUUACAUUCGUUAAGGAUGUUGACGUA